CGGACGGGUGAGUAAUGUCUGGGAAACUGCCCGAUGGAGGGGGAUAACUACUGGAAACGGUAGCUAAUACCGCAUAACGUCGCAAGACCAAAGAGGGGGACCUUAGGGCCUCUUGCCAUCGGAUGUGCCCAGAUGGGAUUAGCUAGUAGGUGGGGUAACGGCUCACCUAGGCGACGAUCCCUAGCUGGUCUGAGAGGAUGAUCAGCCACACUGGGACUGAGACACGGCCCAG
rnacentral:rRNA from 1 species